rnacentral:lncRNA from 1 species
UUAAAGUGGUAUGUGACCACCUUCAAAGCCCAAAGACUUCUCAAAUACAAUUUUUUCAAGUGUGCUUGAAGGUGCUACCAUAAACCAGAGCUCUUGGUUCCCAAUAUGUUGUUUCAAAUGUAAAGAAGAGAUGUUUCCAUAAAGAAAGGGCUGUUAAGGAGUCACCAUCAAUCACCAAGGAGAAUCAAAGAUCCCAUUGCUCCAUAAUUCAAACCAAUUGAGGCAGAGGUAAUAAUAGUGAAAAUUCUUCUUGUUACUUCACUUAGAAGCCCCUGAUGCUGCUGCACUAUUUAUAUUUAACUCUUAGCAGGAUCCCAGUAUGGUCCGUGAGUUUCUGAGGCUUUGAGUCCAGAUUAGAAAACAAAGGUGUCUGUGACUCCACAAGAUGCCUCCAUGGGGACAGUUCUGGGCCAAGAUAACUAGUGGAAACCUGACAAAUUAUUUAGAUUCUUUCCCCUUCCUUCCCUAACUGCAAGAAUCCAAGACAUUCCAAAAGGUUUAGAAGCCUCUCACUUGGUCCAACACUUCCUGGAAUACCUCAGAUGGCCCCAGUAUUGUUUUCUAACCCCAGGGAACAUCCAGAUUUCUGGAACUGACAAAAAAAGGAUACACUCACACUGAUUAUGGGCCGGACUAUGGGCCCAUUGGCUCAGAUUUACAGUCAAACAAAUACUCAGAUAAAUCUCAUCUCCCCAAAGUUCAUGGGUACAAAAUGUCAGGCUUCAUUCAUCAAACUGGCAGUCACUGCCACAGGCACCUUCAUCCUACCAAAUGUAUCAUUACUUUGAUGGGGACAAGGAUGCCCUCCAUUUCCCAGAGAUUCUUUUACUCCCCUUACACCUUCUUAUAUCAUUUUCUUCCCUAUCCCCCUCCAAAAUAAAAAUCUUACAAACUUAAAAAUAAAUGCCAGAUACUAUAUGUACCUCCUGUGUGACCAAUGUUACAUGAUAUGGAGGACGUGGCCCAGUCUCAAAUCUGAGGAGACAAAAAUACCAAAAUAAAUCUCUUAAGACUCGUGUAAAACAGAAUAAAAUGGUUGUUUAGAAGCAGCAGCAGCAUUGCUAAAUUACAGGUAAGCAAUAAAAAGACCUCUGUUUUAUUCCCUACUCUGCAACCAACGUGAAGCAAGUAAUACAAGUGCAUACCCUCAUCCUACCCCAGAAGGAUAGGUGAGGAUUAAUCUCUUGGAGGUGUCUGGAGUUUCACAAAUGGGUUGGUGAUAUACAAGUCACAGAACUUUCAUUUUGCUUUUAUAAUAAAUUCACGGUCCUUACACACUAGAGGGUACCUUCAGUUGUCCGGAUUGUACAUCAACGUGCAUCCAACAUCCCUCUUCGACAUCUCCUGAGGAUUAG